rnacentral:rRNA from 1 species
UGGAUUAGUGGCGAACGGGUGAGUAACACGUGAGUAACCUGCCCUUAACUCUGGGAUAAGCCUGGGAAACUGGGUCUAAUACCGGAUAUGACUCCUCAUCGCAUGGUGGGGGGUGGAAAGCUUUAUUGUGGUUUUGGAUGGACUCGCGGCCUAUCAGCUUGUUGGUGAGGUAAUGGCUCACCAAGGCGACGACGGGUAGCCGGCCUGAGAGGGUGACCGGCCACACUGGGACUGAGACACGGCCCAGACUCCUACGGGAGGCAGCAGUGGGGAAUAUUGCACAAUGGGCGAAAGCCUGAUGCAGCGACGCCGCGUGAGGGAUGACGGCCUUCGGGUUGUAAACCUCUUUCAGUAGGGAAGAAGCGAAAGUGACGGUACCUGCAGAAGAAGCGCCGGCUAACUACGUGCCAGCAGCCGCGGUAAUACGUAGGGCGCAAGCGUUAUCCGGAAUUAUUGGGCGUAAAGAGCUCGUAGGCGGUUUGUCGCGUCUGCCGUGAAAGUCCGGGGCUCAACUCCGGAUCUGCGGUGGGUACGGGCAGACUAGAGUGAUGUAGGGGAGACUGGAAUUCCUGGUGUAGCGGUGAAAUGCGCAGAUAUCAGGAGGAACACCGAUGGCGAAGGCAGGUCUCUGGGCAUUAACUGACGCUGAGGAGCGAAAGCAUGGGGAGCGAACAGGAUUAGAUACCCUGGUAGUCCAUGCCGUAAACGUUGGGCACUAGGUGUGGGGGACAUUCCACGUUUUCCGCGCCGUAGCUAACGCAUUAAGUGCCCCGCCUGGGGAGUACGGCCGCAAGGCUAAAACUCAAAGGAAUUGACGGGGGCCCGCACAAGCGGCGGAGCAUGCGGAUUAAUUCGAUGCAACGCGAAGAACCUUACCAAGGCUUGACAUGAACCGGAAAUACCUGGAAACAGGUGCCCCGCUUGCGGUCGGUUUACAGGUGGUGCAUGGUUGUCGUCAGCUCGUGUCGUGAGAUGUUGGGUUAAGUCCCGCAACGAGCGCAACCCUCGUUCUAUGUUGCCAGCGCGUUAUGGCGGGGACUCAUAGGAGACUGCCGGGGUCAACUCGGAGGAAGGUGGGGACGACGUCAAAUCAUCAUGCCCCUUAUGUCUUGGGCUUCACGCAUGCUACAAUGGCCGGUACAAAGGGUUGCGAUACUGUGAGGUGGAGCUAAUCCCAAAAAGCCGGUCUCAGUUCGGAUUGGGGUCUGCAACUCGACCCCAUGAAGUCGGAGUCGCUAGUAAUCGCAGAUCAGCAACGCUGCGGUGAAUACGUUCCCGGGCCUUGUACACACCGCCCGUCAAGUCACGAAAGUUGGUAACACCCGAAGCCGG